UCCAUGUGCACUCUUUGGUUGGUGGUUUA
rnacentral:piRNA from 1 species